rnacentral:rRNA from 1 species
UAGGGAAUCUUCGGCAAUGGACGAAAGUCUGACCGAGCAACGCCGCGUGAGUGAAGAAGGUUUUCGGAUCGUAAAACUCUGUUGUUAGAGAAGAACAAGGACGUUAGUAACUGAACGUCCCCUGACGGUAUCUAACCAGAAAGCCACGGCUAACUACGUGCCAGCAGCCGCGGUAAUACGUAGGUGGCAAGCGUUGUCCGGAUUUAUUGGGCGUAAAGCGAGCGCAGGCGGGUUCUUAAGUCUGAUGUGAAAGCCCCCGGCUCAACCGGGGAGGGUCAUUGGAAACUGGGAGACUUGAGUGCAGAAGAGGGGAGUGGAAUUCCAUGUGUAGCGGUGAAAUGCGUAGAUAUAUGGAGGAACACCAGUGGCGAAGGCGGCUCUCUGGUCUGUAACUGACGCUGAGGCUCGAAAGCGUGGGGAGCAAACAGG